CCUUAAUUACGUCACGUCACCUCUGCUUUUUUUUUUUCGCAAAAGCCUCCGCUCUUAACCGUAGCCUAGUGUGUCUCUCAGAUCUCUAAGAAGAGGUGUUCGUUACCACGCUUUCUUGGAAACUGGUCACAUUUACUGGACGCUCGUGUGCUCCUUCAACAGCGGCUGAAAGACAGCGCGUUUUUUCUUUCACGUUUGUCAAGGCGCAGCAGCCAGUCUCGCACCCUGGACACGUUGACCAGACAGAGCACUCCACAAGACGCUCAUCACUGAGGAUUACAGGAUAUCAAACCAACGUUUCUUUUUUAGUGCUAAGAUGUUCCAGGUUUGUAGAUUAAUGUGACAGGGACAUUGAUUUUACGAAAUGAAAGAAGGAAGAUGUGUUAUAUAAUGCGAAUAAUAGAAAGGAGCGGAUAGUCUGUUUGACGUUUGCCUCUUUCAAAGGCUGCAUUUGAGGCAACUGAAAGCAUCACUAACAGUGCUACCGUUAACAUUAUAGUGGUGUUGAAAUGGCAUUGAUGAUAUUGGUCGAUAGCUAACUCUUUUACUUAUGUGUGUUCACUACAUUGAUACCAUCCAUCAAUUAGGCGAAUUUAGUGGUCUACAAAGACAGCUAGCUAAGAAGCUGACAUCUACUGUAACGUUAACGUUAGCGGCUUCAGACCGCUCGAUUAAUAGUUAGCUACCAGCUAACGUUAGCUAGCUAAUAACGGUAUCGUUAUCAGGUAACGUGAUUUAUUGUAAAUCAUCAUUUGAAGACCCAAUCCUUCGUUUAAUAUGCAUUUAAUUGAGAUCGAACCUUUAUCAAGUACCCUUCACUCUGCUAUGGUAGAGGGGUCGUGGUACUCGUAGCUGGCCAGUUAGCCAGCUCUUAAAGCUAGCUGACCGCGCCACAUUCAGAAUUUUAUAUCACCAUUAUCUGCCUAGCUAGCUACCACUAUCAAGUGAUCAUACAUCUGUGGUCCCAUAAUAUGCCAGCUAAAGGUUUGGAGGACAACGACUCAAAUAUACUAACAUUAGCGGAAAUAUAUCAUCUAACGUUUUUCGACAUGGACAUAUGUCAUAUUCAUGUCUGUAUAUAGCAACAAAGUAUUAGGCUACUUGAGUGGUUAAGCAGCUUAAAGUUUUUUUUCACGUUAUAAGGUUAGCCAAGUUAGUGGCAGGGAUUUGCGCAAAGAGCACAGUGAAUACAGUGAGAGGAGUGUUUACUCCGUCACCUGAUUUUUUUUUACCCUGCAAGUAUUGUAGUAGUUACUUAGCACAAUGGACGAGCAUAACGGAGAUGAUACUAUGAACCUCGGCGUGGCUGAGGAUCCCAUGCCUGGUUAUGUGGACCUCUUCACUAGAGCAUGUGCCGUCAUGGCCAGUGCCUUGAAGGAGUGUAGCGACUGCGGCUUGGAGCUCUCCAGAAGAACCCUGCUGGACAAUGCCUAUAUUACCUGGACCGAGAUGGGGCUGUUCUUUAUCUGCGCUGUUAUGUGGACGCAGAUGCGACGGGGGCUGACCGGAUGCCUAUUCAAGCCGUUUGCACAGUGGUGUUGUCUCCAGCCCAAAGACACUGCCAAGAUGCCGGAGAGCGCGUGGAAGCUGGUCUUCUACACCAUGUCGUGGUCCUACAGCACCUACCUGCUCUUCUUCACCCAAUACACCUUCUUUCACAACCCGCCGUCCGUUUUCUACGACUGGAAGAGUGGCAUGUCAGUGCCCACGGACAUCGCCAUCGCCUACCUGAUCCAGGGCAGCUUCUACGGUCACUCCAUAUACGCCACCGUCUACAUGGACGCCUGGAGGAAGGACUCGGCCGUCAUGGUGGUCCAUCACGUGAUCACGCUGGCCCUCAUCACAUUCUCCUAUGCCUUCAGAUACCACAACAUCGGGGUGCUGGUGCUGUUUCUACACGACAUCAAUGACAUUCAGCUGGAGUUCACCAAACUGAAUGUCUAUUUCAAGACCCGGGGUGGAAGCUACUACUUGAUCAACGACAUUCUCUCCAAUAUGGGCUCUGUUAGCUUCAGCAUCACCUGGUUCUGGUUCCGUCUGUACUGGUUCCCCCUGAAGGUUCUCUACGCCUCCUGUGUGGCCAGUCUCCAGCUGGUGCCCAACAUCCCCUUCUACUUCUUCUUCAACGCCCUGCUGCUCGCGCUGCUCCUCAUGAACAUCUACUGGUUCCUGCCCCCCUCUAAAGUAAGCAGCAGAUUCCGUCAUUCCGGAUUCCGAGGCGGACGUGGUUCAUCGUACUGUUUGUGGUGAAAGUGUUGACGGGCCAGAUGGAGGGGGUGAAUGAUGUGCGGGAGUACGAGGAAGAAGAGGCCUCUCUGAAGGCAAAGCUCAAGAAGCAGAACCCUGAUGCUGGCCAUCAGGACAACGAGGAAGGGAAACACGUGCAGAACGGGAUCACCAAGGAGAAGCAUCUAUAAGAGCCUCUCCAGCACCACCUCCUGGCACAUACCUAGAAAUACAAUUAAACUAGAUCUAUUCUACGUACAUUGACUUGUGCUCCAAGUGGUUAGAUGGUUUUGCAGGAAAAAACACAUGUAGACAGUGAUAUGUUUUCAGUUACACUAUUCUGUUUUUUUUUUUAUUAUAGCACUGUGAAUGUUAUUUCAGGUGACUUGUCUUAUACUUUUACUUUUUUGGAGAAAAAAAAGGUGUAAGUUCUGUGAAGUUCCUCUUGUGUGGUGGGUAUAUAUAGAAAUAGUGUCAUCUCUUUCACCAUGCUUUGACAGCGGAAGAGAACUCUGUUUCUUAACCUCAACGCGUGAAACAUCCCUCAACAUUAUGAGGACUUACCGCAUUCACAGUAACACUGGUGAAUUGUGCUUUUUCGAGACCCGAACAUAUUUCAAAUUAGUGUUCUUUUAAGAGCCGAUGGCUUUGUUUUUCCAAUUUGAUGUUUGAUUUACUUUUAAUUCCAGGAGUGACGGCUGUAUAAAGGGAAACAUUGGUGCGUUUGUAUCCUGUCUCUGUGUGAGAAAGAAGGGGACAAUGAGAGAGUGCAUGUCGAGUCUCUGGUUUUAAUUUCCUAAAGACAUGCACUGAUGAUCCAUAUCAUUGCACAGGUUACUCCAGACCAAAUGGACUUUACCCAGCCUGACCUGUUGUUAAUGUGCGAGCCACACAUCUUUGUAGUAUUGGUGUGCUUGAAUGUAAAAAAAAAACACCACAUGAUUUUAAGGGAAUUUUGUUUUGUUUUUUCACUUUUUUUUGGUGUGGAUAAAUAGGGAUUGAUCAUAUUGCUUGCAUUCCUGUUUGGGGAAGAUGUGGCGUGACAUUUUCUGAUUUUAUUGCAUCUGUUGUUGCACUGAUAUGAAGGCAUACAAGCUGACCAUUGAUUUACGUAUGAUCUGACAUAGCAGGAAUUGAUUGAAUUGGUUGCAUAAUUUAUUCCAAAAGGAUUUUUUUUCUUUUUCUUUGGAAAACUGCGAAUUACAGAAUCCAAUUGACAUGAAUAGCCCUUAAACUUUGUGUAAUUCCUUAGGCAAAUAUUAAUAUAUAUGCACAUAAUAUGGUAUUCUGGAAAUGCAUGAUAUUGGAAUGGCUCCAAGUAUGUUAUGAAGUAGUCCUAUGACAAAACUUAAAUGAAAAACUAUUUAAAUGUAACUAAUCGACAUGCGACGUCACACUCAAGAACAGAGACCACAAUCAUACAUACAAAGAAAAUCUACUUGCCUACAGUACAUACUGUUCUGAAUGUUUUCAUGAGUUUUAAAUGUGUACGUUUGCAUCAGGUCUGGAUUUAUUUUUAAUUUUUUUUUGUUUUUGUGCUGAGACCAAGUGCUGUCACUCUGAUCAAAUCCAUGCUACUGUUUUAUCUCUCGUCAUGAUGGACAGCAUGCUUGUGCUGGAACAGUCCGCAGAUGCCAGUAAGAGAAAGGAGUCCAAUAAGGAGUCCAAUGGACGUGUCUUCCAUUCUCCGGACUAGGCUCUCCCACUAGUCCGCGCUUUCCAAUUGUUAUGUUAGGACAUUGUUAUUGAUCUGAGUCUGCUGCUGUUAUUUUGUUUUUCUCUCUGAGAACACUGUUUGUAGAUGUCUUGUCCUUCUCUUGUGUAUGCAUUGGUUUGGUUAACUGUUUGUACA